rnacentral:rRNA from 1 species
GAUGAACGCUGGCGGCGUUCCUAAUACAUGCAAGUCGAGCGAACAGACGAGGAGCUUGCUCCUCUGACGUUAGCGGCGGACGGGUGAGUAACACGUGGAUAAUCUACCUAUAAGACUGGGAUAACUUCGGGAAACCGGAGCUAAUACCGGAUAAUAUAUUGAACCGCAUGGUUCAAUAGUGAAAGACGGUUUUGCUGUCACUUAUAGAUGGAUCCGCGCCGCAUUAGCUAGUUGGUAAGGUAACGGCUUACCAAGGCGACGAUGCGUAGCCGACCUGAGAGGGUGAUCGGCCACACUGGAACUGAGACACGGUCCAGACUCCUACGGGAGGCAGCAGUAGGGAAUCUUCCGCAAUGGGCGAAAGCCUGACGGAGCAACGCCGCGUGAGUGAUGAAGGUCUUCGGAUCGUAAAACUCUGUUAUUAGGGAAGAACAAAUGUGUAAGUAACUAUGCACGUCUUGACGGUACCUAAUCAGAAAGCCACGGCUAACUACGUG